AAACAUUUCUAGCAGUAUAUAUCCCCUUUAUUUUCAUAAUAUCCAUUCAUUGCAGACAUGCAGUUCGUAGUUUGUUUGUUACGUUCAACUUUUCCUCAAGGAUCUGAACGCGUCUGAUCUUUUCCAUAAAUAUAUGCAGGCUGACGUGGGUCACGUGACGUGCCUUUCUCUUUUUUUCCUGUGGAAAAUCUCGUAAAAAGGUACGUUGCGAUUUAUUAAUUUCUUUUAUUUACAUUUCUAGGGACCCGUGUAUAGGUUUUCUCGUUCCGUGUUGCUGUUGCGGCGAUUAGGCUUUGAUUGACAUGUGACAACAAACCGGAAAAAUGUUGAGUUCAGGGACUGACCAAAGAGUUCUUUAAAUUGAUUUUUCUGCAUUUUAAUUUAUUUACACUACGAGUCUAAUGGUGUGUGAUAAAAAACCUAUAAAUAUUAUGAUAAAUGAGAUGAAACAAUUAUUUUGAUGGAGUUUAUAAAAUAUUAGCAUCUAUUAUAUUCUUUUUUCUUUAACUGUCAAUUUUUUUGACGUAUCUCAUAUAUUAUAGUAUUACAAUGAAGUGCUCUAAUUUAUCUGUUAAAAAAGGUUUCAUCACUGUUUCCUGUAGUAAUUCUCAAUAAAGUUUUAAAUAUGAUAUAUUAAAUAGGAUAUAUUAUCUAAAGUAAUCAGGCUUUUAAGCCUUCAAUUUGCCCCAAUUGACAUGAAGUGCGCAUUUCGAAAAGCCAGUGAACGCAGCGUCAUACGGGCACCCCCACCCCACUCCCCCGGAAACCCCCGGAUGAACCCGCAGGAAGGCGCGCGGCUGAAGAACUCUUGGACAGCUGGAAGGCCGCAGCAUCACGGUGAAGGCCUCUUCUGUAUAGAGGACGGGGGCGGAAACGUCACGUGGUCUCCGCAGAGACGGGUCAGUUAUUUGGAGACAACAUGCACAAAUAGUUCCUGGACUGAUUUUCUGCUAACUUUGAGAUGGAGAGGCUGUCAGGUUCAUCUGUUUCAGGGUCCUGCAUGCUCUCCCUCCAUGUUGGCUGUAGCAGUGGAUGGAACUUGCAAAAUGUACUGUUUUGAGAGCCAACUGGGGCUCAGUGGUUAUUUUGAAGAUGCGUUUCUGACCAAAAACACUGUGGAGACCUCCUUUGUGAACUGCAUUCAUGGGGCAAUAGAACAUAAUCCUGGAGAUGGGAGAUGUGGAGCAGGAAAGUUUGUGGCAGCACCAGAGUCCUCCAACAAGUCUUCUGGCAAAGUAAAUGAGGAAGGAUCGCAGUCUGCCAUCGUGGAGUUUUGCUGAAAGGACUGAACACGUUCCAUCCAUGCAUCCAUCUUCUUCCAUUCAUCCAGAACCAGGUUGUGAGGGCAGCAGUCUUAGCAAAGAUGCCCAGACUUCCCUCUCCUCCAGCUCCUCUUGGGGGACCCCGGGGCCAGCUGAGAGACGUAGUCUCCCCAGCGUGUCCUGGGUCUUCCUUAGGGCCUCUGCCCAGUGAGACAUGCAUGGAACCCCCCCCCCAGGGAGGCGUCCUCCUCUGGAUGUAGAGUGGAAGCGGCUCCACUCAGAGCUCUCUCCAGGUGAGCGAGCUUCCUGAACCUGUUCCGUUGAGAUAUUUUCAUGAACCCCUUCUAUUUGCAGAAACGGCUUUCUCCACAGACCUUGCAGUUCUUCUGCUCUGAUGUAGUCUACGAGUUCUGAUCGCAUUUGGAGAAGGUUGGCGUUCCUUGUCCUGAGAUGCAGGACCUGUUGAACAUGUGUCCUUUUCAAGUUCACUCUUGGAUGUGUGAGUUUGCAAACAUACAUUUUGGUUGAAAUGAUGAGGAUCCGAGGAUGAAAUCAAGAAGGGACAACUUCAGGGAAAGGGACUGAACCGACUGAACAGCUUCCUCUCUUCAGCAGACACAUCUUCCGAGUACAUAUGUGUCAAAAACUGACAUCCUCGCCGUUCAGGCCGGUGGCUGGAACAAGCGGAAGUCAGAAAAGCUGGAGCAGACGUUACCAGAAUGAUACCUCCAGGACCAAUCAAAAUGACCCAGAGAAAAACACUGAAGGGCUUUGUCUGAGCAUCAGGAAAACAAGAAUCAGCAUAUGGUUAUGGUGCCAUGGUAAAGAACUAAAGGCUCUAGGAUGUCAUGCUGCUGACCAGACUGUGGUUGGUGAAGUCCAGCAGCACUGCGGGUCCUUGAAGUGUGGUUGAAGAGCUCUCCUCCCAGCUUUUGGAAGGUUCUGCCCCGCAAAGCCAGGAGGUUUCUCUUUGUGAUCUGCAUGGAUGUCCAGGGCUUGUGGCAUUUAUGUGUUUUCCUCUUCAUUUCAUUCUCAGGCAGCACAGAGGCCUUGAUGGAGAGAGAACAUGAGGGACUAAUUGUCUGCUGAGGAGGAGACUUUCUGCAGUUCAAGCCCCAGCUCCACCCCUAAAAAAGGCUUAUAAGAAGGAAAACCUCAUUUCAACUUUGUACCAAUAAAUAAAUGACUUUUAAUUGAAAUGAGAGAUUUUUUUUCUGCACCGCACCAAUGAAGGUUUUUUCAACCUAAAUUUCAACAAUUACAUUAUUUUUUUAACCUCCGUUCAAGUUUCUACAACACUAGCUAAACAUUUCAGUGCUCACACCUGUGCUGAAGACACUUCUCAUUUUAUCUCAAACGUUUGGCCUUUGAUUUGUAUGUCCAACACCUUAGAAUGAAACACUGACCUAUUAAACUCAUAUAAUGUGCUAUGCAUCUCCAAAUCCUUUGUCAGGGUACAGACUACAUUUUAAUUGAGCAAGACUGAAGUAAAAUGUAGCAAAAUGACAAUGGGUUAUCUUAAAUUAGGGGUAAAUGACAUGAGAAAUUAAGAAUAUUAGAAGUGUGGAGUGAUAUGUGUAUCAGUAUGUUAGCUGCAGGAAGGGGGCUGUCCUUGACACGUCCCUUUACUCAGACAGGAUGACAGGUAGGGAAGGGGGUAGCCGAUGAUCUGCUCCAGUAUCUUCAGCACUGAAGCUUCUGCUGCUCUUCUUCAGUUUGAUCUGAGAGCCAGACCAUGAUGCAGUUGGACUGGCUGAGCGGUAGGUUGCCAGCAGCUUCAGACGUGCUGAUGUGCCUUGUUGAUAACGUCCUGGAUGUUAGGAAACCAAGUUAGAUCAGCUGAGAUGGGGAUGCCCAGGAAAGGGAAGCUGUGAACCCUCCUCUAUGCCUACUAAAGUCCAAGAUGACUUUCAUGGUCUUUUAUUUGCCGAUCAGCCUUACACUAUACAGUUUCCGCACUUGUCUACAAAGUUCACCUCAGUGACCUUUCAUAAGUCUUUGUUAUUGGCAAGUUAAUUACUUAUAUCCAAGACAUGGAGAUGUGGGUCCAGUAUGAGCAGGAUUUGGGAAAUGGCAGUUGCCAAGAACUCACAUGAAGUUUCAAGGUUUUUGCCUUUAUUUGGAGGAAAAAAAGUUGUUGUCCUUUGUUUGUUGUGCAGAAUUGCAAACCUAGAAAGAAAUCAACUUGAAAGAAUUUAUAUAAAUGUAUUUGCCCUUCUUUUGACCCUUCUACAUCAUGAAUAUUUGGUGGCUGUUGCUUGGCGACUGUGAGAUCUCUCCAUAGGAUUGACAUGGGCUGGGCCUCUCAAUGACCUUGAUAUGAUUGUUCUUCAGCCAUUCCUUGGUUGCCUUGGCUGUAGGUUCUAGGUCACUAACCUGUUGGAAGACCCAUCCAUGACUGAUUUGAAGGGUCCUGACUUAAGGAGGGUAGGAAGUUCUCACUCAAGAUUUUCCAUUAAUGGCUCCAUCAACGUGGUGACGUAGCUCUGUGCAGAAAAAUAGCCACAAAGCAUAAUGCUUCCACCUCCAUGUUUGACAGUGGGGAAGCUGUUCUUGGGGUCAUAGGUAGCAAUUCUCUUCCUCCAAACCCAAUGGUUGAGUCGAUGCCAAAGAGCUCAGUUUUGAGCCAAACAUUCCAUUAUGCAGAAUAAAAUGAUAAAGCAAACCCUAUUUUUCAGUGUGUGAUUUUCAUUUUUUCAUAAAUCUUAGGACAAUUUAGAUGAUAAAAGUAACAAAUAUAUGAAAACAGUAUAAUACAGUAAAUAUGUAAAUAUUUGAUGUGAUGAACAAUGUUUAUCUGAUUUAGACCCAACAUGAAAUAUUUUUUGACACACACAAAUCAAGUUGUGUUAUUUACUGCUCGUAAUUUAGACACAAAUGAUAGAAAUGUUAGGUUUAUAUGCCAAAGAGGCCAUGUGAAAAUUUUAGUGCAAAUACGCAUGCGUGCGCGCCGUGCACAUAAAGCCACCCCACCCCCACGUGUCCGCGCGCCGGUCGGGGGGUGUUGGGCGUCAAUAAAGGUAAUCUGGUUGUCGCGCUUUCUGCAUCUCUGCGCGAGCUAAAGAAGUCUCAAAGAUGAAUGCAGCUGUUGUUGUUAUUACUGUGUGACGGAGGAGCGGUGCUGAAAAAUACGGCCUCCAGUCCAUCGAGAGACUGAACGUAACACGACUGCAGGCUGACUCUGCCACGAGGCUCGACAACUUCUUGCAUCAACUGUGAUCGCUGUGGCCGCCAAAACAUCCAAAUUGUUAUAUGAUAAUUUAAAUUUUGACGAUGACGAUACAAAAAUUGCUGCCAAACCUGCCAAAAAGUCCCGCCUCUUACCACACACAUGUUGUGCCCCCUAAGUUGCCCUAAGUUCCCUGAUCAAGCAUAAACGUGCUUUGCCUGGAUGAAGGCCUUGUAUCAGGUUGGAAAAACCAGCAGCCUUCCAGUGCUUCAGCCGUCCAACCAUCAACCGUUUCAGACAUCCAUCCUCCCAUCACUUCAGCCCCACAGCCGUCCACCAGUGUGCCAACUUCUGACAUUUUACUAUCCUGGGGGGGGUCAUGGCCUCUACGCUGGAUCCCAAAAAAGAGACAAAAAAACCCCGACCUCAACCCCCACUCUUAGUCAGACAUGUUUAUUUUUUUAUUUACAAUAAUAAAUAAUAUACUAUGUACAUUUA